CUACGGGGCGCUGCAGUGGGGAAUAUUGCACAAUGGAGGAAACUCUGAUGCAGCAACGCCGCGUGGAGGAUGACACUUUUCGGAGCGUAAACUCCUUUUAUAUAGGAAGAUAAUGACGGUACUAUAUGAAUAAGCACCGGCUAACUCCGUGCCAGCAGCCGCGGUAAUACGGAGGGUGCAAGCGUUACUCGGAAUCACUGGGCGUAAAGAGCGUGUAGGCGGGUUAAUAAGUCAGAAGUGAAAUCCUAUGGCUCAACCAUAGAACUGCUUUUGAAACUGUUAACCUAGAGUGUGGGAGAGGUAGAUGGAAUUUCUGGUGUAGGGGUAAAAUCCGUAGAGAUCAGAAGGAAUACCGAUUGCGAAGGCGAUCUACUGGAACAUAACUGACGCUGAGACGCGAAAGCGUGGGGAGCAAACAGGAUUAGAUACCCCAGUAGUC
rnacentral:rRNA from 1 species